GAGGAGAGCGGUUCUGAAGACGAUCACCUGACCUGUAAACAGCUGCUACAAACAAAGAAGUGAUAUUAAAAUAAAAUCAACAAAUAAAACCAGGUGGAGCUAAAAGAAGUGCUGCAGCCCCCCACCCCUCUACCACUUCUAAAAGAAUAUAGAUCAUGAAACUGAGAACCGCAGGUCUCAGAUAUAAAGUCAGUGUUGUCGUGUAAAAUAAGGUCGUUAAUUAAAAGUCUAGUUUAAAAGGAAGCGUACAUUUAAAAGUGUUCAGAUAUCUUCUUGAUGUUUGUGGUCGAUGAGCAGGAGGACGGUCUGUUUUUUCACCUGUUUGAGGUUGUUAGGAUCAGGUCAGGAGUUUACGGUGUGUCGUCUGGUGAUCGCAGGAAUGGGGGGUCUGUGGGUGGAGGAAGGUGGUGCUGUGGGUGAGGGACACAGACUACAGGACGGUUGUUAGGGGUGAAAUGUAAAACAGUUCCCGGACAGUGUGGGACGGAUCCUGGCUCCUCAUGAAGUUAG